GUGACCCAAUGUUCAACGGCCGCGGUAUCCUAACCGUGCGAAGGUAGCGUAAUCACUUGUUCUUUAAAUGAGGACUAGUAUGAAUGGCAUCACGAGGGUUAUACUGUCUCCUUUUUCCAAUCAGUGAAACUAAUCUCCUCGUGAAGAAGCGAGGAUUAUUUUAUAAGACGAGAAGACCCUAUGGAGCUUUAAACUAACCAGCAUUUGCUAUAUUGUAUAAUUUUUCAGAAAUAUAAAAAACAGCUUAGCUCUUUGACUAUAAGUUUUCGAUUGGGGUGAUCACGGAACAAAAAAUAACUUCCGUGCCGAAAGGACUAUUCCUGAGCCAAAAGUGACAACCUUAAGCACUAAAAAAUUAACGCUUAUUGACCCA
rnacentral:rRNA from 1 species